rnacentral:lncRNA from 1 species
GCGAUCUACAGAUUCAAUGCAAUCCCCAUCAAAAUACCAAUCCAAUUCUUCAAAGAGUUAGACAGAACAAUUUGCAAAUUCAUCUGGAAUAACAAAAAACCCAGGAUAGCUAAAGCUAUCCUCAACAAUAAAAGGACUUCAGGGGGAAUCACUAUCCCUGAACUCAAGCAGUAUUACAGAGCAAUAGUGAUAAAAACUGCAUGGUAUUGGUACAGAGACAGACAGAUAGACCAAUGGAAUAGAAUUGAAGUCCCAGAAAUGAACCCACACACCUAUGGUCACUUGAUUUUUGACAAAGGAGCCAAAACCAUCCAAUGGAAAAAAGAUAGCAUUUUUAGCAAAUGGUGCUGGUUCAACUGGAGGUCAACAUGUAGAAGAAUGCAGAUCGAUCCAUGCUUGUCACCCUGUACAAAGCUUAAGUCCAAGUGGAUCAAGAACCUCCACAUCAAACCAGACACACUCAAACUCAUAGAAG